GCGGCUGGGCAGGGGCGGGGGUGAGCUGAGGGGGCAGCGGCGGCCCCUAUUGAGUGUCUGUGCAUCCUAGGUUCGGCAGUCGUGGGCCACUACCUCGCUGCCGCGCCCGAGCUGAGGCCUAGCGGGCCGCCUGUGCUGACCGCGGUGCUCCCUGGAGGUGCGCCCGUUCCGAGUGUCGUCCAGGGUCAGGUUCCUUUCCAGAGACCAGUUAUGGGUGUGAGAGGGUUGCAGGGGUUUGUGAGAAGUACCUGCCCACAUGUAUGUACAGUAGUCAACCUCAAAGAGAUGGCGGAGCACCACCUCAGCAGGCACCCAGACUGCACUCCGACCAUUGUGGUAGAUGCCAUGUGCUGUCUCCGGUACUGGUACACUCCAGAGUCUUGGAUCUGUGGUGGCCAAUGGCGAGAAUACUUUGCUGCUUUGCGAGAUUUUGUUAAAACUUUUGAAUCUGUUGGCAUCAAGUUGAUAUUCUUUUUCGAUGGCAUGGUGGAGCAGAAUAAGAGAGAUGAGUGGAUCAAACGAAGGCUUAAGAACAACAGGGAGAUUUCCAAGAUUUUCCAUUACAUAAAGUCACGCAGGGAGCAGCCAGGCAGAAACAUGUUCUUUAUCCCCUCUGGACUGGCCAUAUUUACACGGUUUGCUCUCAAGGCGCUGGGUCAGGAAACCUUGUGUUCAUUACAGGAGGCUGACUACGAGGUGGCUUCCUAUGGUCUCCAGCAUAAGUGUCUUGGGAUUCUUGGGGAAGACACUGAUUACUUAAUUUAUGAUACUUGUCCCUACUUUUCUAUUAGUGAGCUCUGUCUGGAGAGUCUCGACACAGUCAUGCUGUGUCGAGAAAAGCUCUGCGAGAGUUUGGGCCUCCGCGUGGCUGACCUGCCUCUGUUGGCCUGUCUGCUGGGCAAUGAUAUCAUCCCAGAGGGCAUGUUCGAAAGCUUUCGGUACAAAUGCUUGUCUUCCUAUACAUCCUUGAAAAGGAACUUCGACAAAAAAGGUAAUGUUAUUUUAGCUGUAUCAGACUACAUAUCCAAAGUUCUUCAUUUGCAUCAAGGUGAGAAAAAAUUAGAAGAGAUGUUACCUUUGGGACCAAACAAAGCUCUUUUUUAUAAGGGAGUGACAUCGUAUCUCUUGCCAGGACAGAAAUCUCCAUGGUUCUUCCAAAAGCCUGAAGGUGUAACAGUGUUGGACAAGCAAGAAAUAUCCAUGAGUUCAGACCCUGAAUCCAAGCAAGAGAUUCCCAUUUGUACUGAGCCUGAAUCCAACCAAGAAGUUCUCAUGUGUGCUGGUCCUGAUUCAGAGGAGAAAGUUCUCCUAUGUGCAGAUCCUGAAUUGAAGGAGGAAGUUCCUAUAUGUGCAGACCUUGAAUCUAAGCAAGAAACUCCCAUGUGUGUAGAUUCUGAAUCUAAGAAAGAAGUUCCCAUGUGUAUAAAUCCUGAAUCCAAGCAUGAAGUUCCCAUGUGCAUGGAUGCUGAACCUAAGCAAGAAGUUCUUAUGUAUAUGGAUCCUGAACCCAAGCAAGGAGUUCCUAUACAUGCAGACCCUGAAGUAAACCAUAAAUUACCUAUAGGAACAGACCCUAAAUGUAAUCUAGAAGCACCCAUGUGUGUACACCCUGAAGUUACACAAGAAGAUCCCAUGAUUAUGGGGCCUGAAAUAAAAGAACAAGUAACUAUGGUUUCAGAUCCUGAAAUCUUGAAGAUUGCGAGGAACCAUCACGUCCAUGCAGAAAGCUACCUGGUGUACAACAUCAUGAGCAGUGGAGAGAUCGAGUGCAGCAACACCUUGGAAGACGAGCUGGACCAAGCCCUGCCCAGCCAGGCCUUCAUCUACCGCCCCGUCCGCCAGCGCGUCUAUUCUGUCUUACUGAGGGGCUGCCAAGAUGGUACCAGUACAGCCUACCCAGUGGUCAAGGAGUGGUUCGUGUACCCUGGAAACCCGCUGAGGCACCCAGACCUCGUCAGGCCUCUGCAGAUGACUGUCCCAGGAGGAACACCUAGUUUGAAAAUCCUGUGGCUGAGUGAGGAGCCGGCCGUGCAGGCACAGCGCCUGGAUAUACUACUCUCCUGUUUCAAUCUCUCCUCCUCAAGGGAAGAGCUGCAGGCCGUGGACAGCCCACUGAGAGCUCUGUGCUGCCUCUUGAUCUACCUCUUCAUCCAGGUGGACACCCUUUGCCUGGAGGAUUUGCAUGCAUUUAUUGCUCAGGCCUUGUGCCUGCAAGGAAAAUCAACUGCACAGCUCAUGAACUUACAGCUUGAAUACAUCAACCCCCGAGCUGUGCAGCUUGGAUCCCUCCUCGUCCGAGGCCUCACCACUUUGGCUCUGGUCAACAGCGCAUGCGGCUUCCCCUGGGAGACAAAUGAGUUCAUGCCCUGGAACGUGUUUGACGGGAAGCUGUUUCACCAGAAAAACAGUUUGGGCAGCACCUGUCGCACAUCUGAAAAUGCAGAGUUCUGGGCUGGACAUCAGAGAUCGUGGCUCACCAGAUUUCACAAUCUGAAGGCAGUGGUUUGUAAGGCCUGCAUGAAGGAGAACCGCCGCAUCGUGGGCCGAACGCACUGGAACUCACACCACACAGUUCUGAACCCUGUUUCCGGUCCCACUGAACUUCCGCCCGUGACAGUUAUGCGAAAGCUCUCCAAUGGUAGCCAGACUCUCCCACUGCUAGACAGACCCUCGGAUUUACCAUGGAGCCUGUUGUGCCGUCUGCAGCUCUAAACAGUUUUCUCAUCUCUUUCUUCUGCAUUAUUUCCUUAAACUAAAUAUCCUGUGUAGUUUGUAGAAUUAUAGAUCAAAAUGUAAUCACUUAGUAAAUGUUGCCAGCUUGUUUUCUGAAAUCCUUGUUUCGUGUCCUUGUUUCCUUUGCCAGCAGUAAGAAUCCGUUUGAUGAUAACCUUGAUGGCCUUCAAUUUAAAACAAAUUGUUUUUGCUAACUUGGUAGAUGAAAAAUUGUAUUUCACUGAUUGAAUGUUUGUUUUUUGUGGAGGUGGAUAUGCUUAUUUUACUAAUGAGAAUCUUGUAAUUAUUUUUUCGUGUCCUCCUCUGGUUAGAGUUUAUAGCUGUAAGUGACCCCAUUAUUUUUCUUGAUAGCUAAGAGAACUGACUUUAGACUCCUACCCACCAGACCAUCUCCAGAAGCCCCAGGCAGUCCCCUUGUGUAUGUCCCCUCCUGGCCCCAUGGGUGAGCCUGUCCUGCUGGGCCACGUGCAUGGCUGUUAUCAGAGCUCAGCUAGGGUGUGGAGCUGGUCCCAGACUGACAGAAAACACUCUUUUCUCUGUUCCCAACCUUUUUCUCCAUUGUAACUCUCUCCUACCAACUGCAGAUAGAGUUUUAAGUAACAAAGGUUUAUUCCUUACAAAGCAAACAAACCACCUGCUGCUCGUAUUGCCUGCUAACCUCACUGGUUGGCACCUGGGGCUCAGUGUCUGCCCUCUGCACCCAUCCCUCAUCGUGAUUGCUUGAUGGUGAGGGGCUUGCCGAUGGCUCCAUGCAGGUGGUUCUGAGAUGGCCAUCAUUACUGGCACCUGCGUGCCCAGACACCUGUGGGCACACCGUUCGCAGGUGUCCUGUAGUACUUAGCAGAGCUGCACAAGUGCUGACUGCUGGUGCCCGCUCCUGUGGGCUGCUGGCGGAGGCUGGGCAAAGCCACCCUCCCUCCCUGAGUUCGCAUAGGGAGUAGACACCUGAAUUUACAGCUGCCCACAGGAUGGGGUUGCAGGUAGCUCAUGUGCCGGGCAUCAGAACUGAUCUACCCAGGCAGAAACCUGCAGCACCGCAGUGAGUGCCGUGUGCUGGCAGCUGUUGAUGAUUGACACCACCAUGUAGAAGCUCCGCUGUGCGGGCAGCAGUCACAGAGGGGCUUCACUAAGGACCUGAGAGCGCCGCAGCAGGGAAGUGUAGCAGGUGGAGGAAGCCAUCAGUUAGGUCUGGGAAGGGGCUGUGGUGGAGGAAGAGCCAGGGAAGGGAGGUGGGAACUCGGUGCAGAAACUGAUCAUUCUGUCCACUGCAGACUGGGGGCACUGUACUCCGAAACCUGCUCUGAGGAUGGCGACUGCACAGACAGUGGAAGAAAGUGGGGCCAGGGGACAGCUAGAGGCCAUCAUGAGCCUUGUGUGAGCGGCAGCCGGGAGGAGGUACAGGGCUUGCUCAGCACAGCACAAAGUGGCACCUCAGCCCUAAAGUUCCUGUGGCCUGUGCGUGCUGGGUGGGUCCUUAUCCCUUGGCUUUGCACAGAGCUCCAGACUGAAGAGACUGCAUAGGAGGUAGCGUGGUGUGUGUGCGCCUGCCUUUAGGAGCACUGACUGAAGCCACUUUACCAAGCCAACCCACCCUGUGUGUCUGUACACCAGUGGCAGAUGCUCAUCCGUCUAGGGCUGCUUUCUUUGUGGAAGCACCAGGAAAUACCAAGAUUUUUUUCAAAACAAAACAAUUCAUCUAUGAGUGCUUAGUCGGCCUUCCAGUGGAGACAGAGGAUACAUUUAGAAAUUUACAAGAAUUUUACAGUGCAAAAGGGAGGUGGGGGAGACAGAGUUCUGGCUCCCACAGGACGAGCUCUGCCUACAGCCGUUCCGGGCAGGGACAGCCGUGGAGAGACCAGGGGCCAGGGAGCAGACAGCAUGAGCAUGACCAAUGGAAAA